GCCCUGGUAGUAUAGCCCGGCUUAGUAUAUUCGGCUGUCGCCCGAUUGACCCGGGUUCAAAUCCCGGCCAGGGCGCCA
rnacentral:tRNA from 1 species